AAGAUUGCAUGUAUAAAUAGCUAAACUUUUCUUCCACUGUUUAGGAAAGAGAAAGUAUCAAAAGCUUUUGUUUCCGUUUUUGAUUGAAUUUGUGGACAAAAUAUGAAAGCAGAUUUGUGUGUCUUCGUUGUGGUAAGCACAGUUUUCUUUCUGUCAAGCUGUGUCCACGCUCGAGAAUUAUGUGGAACAGAUGGCAACACAUACGUCGAUCUUCCUUUGAUGAUAAAAACUGCUAAUGACUUCAAUCAACAUCUUUUGAUUUUUUAUUGGGGACCCUGCGACCAAAAGUGUGCACCUCUACAAUUUUGCGGCAUGGAAUUCAAUCCUCAAUGUGGUACAGACGGGCAGACGUAUCCUGAUCCGUGUUUCUUUAAAAUUGCUCAAUGUGAAAGUGAUGGGAGAAUUAGACUGGCCCAUCAUGGAAUGUGUUGACCAUAUGGAACUGAAUGAAAAGUAAACAAGAUUGGAGAAGUUUUGAUGUCAUAUAUGUUUAGUACAAUUGAUGUGUAGUUUGUGAAGCAUACUGUAAACUUUUGUUUGGGGAAACAUAUGUUCUAUUCUUCAAUCAACUUACAAAUAAAUGGUUGAUCAUGAAUCAUCAAGAUUCGUUAUCUUUUUGCAUAC